CAGAAGGACUGAGAAUAUCCAGUGGGAGGGAGUCUCAAGGGAGCAGUCCUGAACCGAGAACUCUUUGGCUUUUAUCACAAGGAAAAACAGGAAGAAAACCAGAUUGGGUGGCAAGGAACAGGAAGAUUUAGCAUUGAGGCUUUGUCUGGGAGGAAAUGCUGCCAACGCCUGCUACAGCGUCAGAAGCAACCUGAGAGAACGAGCCCUCCGGAGAUGGCGAGAUGCGGACUGCUGGUUCCCCUCGCUGACCGAGUCAGCUCAUCACCCAGACACGAUGUGGUUUGUGCCAGUUCCUCCCUCCCAGGAGACAUCCCGCAUCACACAACAUUUCACUCAGCUGUGUGGCUGAGCGCUGACAAACUCAAUUUGUGGAAGGUGAGCGCAAGUUGACACCAUGCUGUGGCAGUUGUCCUGAUGGGAGCCAAGGACUCAUUUCAUUCCAAGGUGGAACCCACCUUCUCCGGAAACAAGCUUGUGCACACGAGUGUAGCGGACAAGGACGGAAGACUGACACAAAGUCGAAGAACUUCUGGAGUUGGAGAGAGCAGGGAGGGAUGGGAGGAGAAGCGGACAAAGAGAAUUAAGAUAUGUUGUGUAUGUGUACAAACUUCCCCACAAUAAAUAUAAUCCUCAUGUAUGGC
ensembl:lncRNA